rnacentral:lncRNA from 1 species
GCACGGAUAAGAUUAUAUGAACAAAGAAGUAGCAGUCUUGCAGCCUAAAUAAAUGAUUACAAAGAUGAAGGGUAUUUCAAAACAACAGUUGGCAUUGUCGAAAAGUAGAUACAGUUAGAAGGUAAAAUUGACCUUGACGACCAUCACCGCCUCGACGGCCGAUGACCAUCGGCUCAACGGCCACCACGUUGGCAAGCGUGUAAGAGUGCUGGGCAGGUUGGGGUCGUGAAGAAAGGCAAGCCCCUUGGUCGUGACGAUGUCGAUCUUCAUCCUUGUCAUCCACGGGAGGGAGCCAUUUGGACCUUAAUAAGGAAAUAUGAUGUUUCAGGUCAGUUUCCUCCUCUACAUUGACCUAGAAAUGUAACUUGCAAGUACAAGAAGUUGGUCGGAUUAUUAAUUUUUCAAUCUUGAUGGCAUCGGCAGCCGAUGACUGAGACACCAUGUUCGUGCGGUGAAUGAAUUUCCUAAAUUCGGAACACUGAAGCCUCAAAAUAAAUUUUGAAUUUUCGGUAAUCUCGUUUGUUAUUCGGAACCUGCAAUUAAUCAUAGUCCUAAAUCCUUGUUGCAGCUAUCUCUCGAGCAUUUCAACAAACAUUAAAACAUAGGAUGGGCAUGAGCGUAGGGCAAACCUGCUAGUCUUGGACUCUUGUAUUCUGCAUCUGAUGCGCGGUGGAUGCCCUAGACAAGCGCCAUAGUAACCAGUGCCUUGACGGUGUAGUCCAGGAAAGUAGUGUAGCACAUAUGUUUGUAUUUAUUGUAUAGGAAAGAAGAAAUAUGGACAACUCUUAUUACUGUCACAACAUUAAAUCGAUCAACCGCUGCUCAAGAGCAUUGAACGUAAGAUCAGUUCCAGCAGCGGUGAGAUGUUGUGAGCCCUCGGCUCAUGCCGAAGUGUCAAUGACUGAGCUUCAUCAGUAUUUCCUG